AGAGUUUGAUCCUGGCUCAGGACGAACGCUGGCGGCGUGCCUAAUACAUGCAAGUAGAACGCUGAGGACUGGUGCUUGCACCGGUCCAAGGAGUUGCGAACGGGUGAGUAACGCGUAGGUAACCUACCUCAUAGCGGGGGAUAACUAUUGGAAACGAUAGCUAAUACCGCAUGACAAUGGAGGACUCAUGUCUUUCAUUUAAAAGGUGCAAUUGCAUCACUAUGAGAUGGACCUGCGUUGUAUUAGCUAGUUGGUGAGGUAACGGCUCACCAAGGCGACGAUACAUAGCCGACCUGAGAGGGUGAUCGGCCACACUGGGACUGAGACACGGCCCAGACUCCUACGGGAGGCAGCAGUAGGGAAUCUUCGGCAAUGGACGGAAGUCUGACCGAGCAACGCCGCGUGAGUGAAGAAGGUUUUCGGAUCGUAAAGCUCUGUUGUUAGAGAAGAAUGAUGGUGGGAGUGGAAAAUCCACCAUGUGACGGUAACUAACCAGAAAGGGACGGCUAACUACGUGCCAGCCGCCCGCGGUAA
rnacentral:rRNA from 1 species